rnacentral:rRNA from 3 species
GGACUACACGGGUAUCUAAUCCCGUUCGCUCCCCUGGCUUUCGCGCCUCAGCGUCAGAUGGGGUCCAGCGUGCCGCCUUCGCCACCGGAGUUCCUGUGGAUAUCAACGCAUUUCACCGCUCCACCCACAGUUCCGCACGCCCCUACCCCCCUCGAGGCCGCCCGUACCCGGGGCCGUUCUCCGGUUGAGCCGGAGGAUUUCACCCCGGACGCGGCAGCCCGCCUACGCGCCCUUUAAGCCCAGUGAUUCCGAACAACGUUCGCUCGGUUCGUCUUACCGCGGCUGCUGGCAC